GGAGCAUUUCCCGAGCGGCCUAUGGGGGCAGACUGUAAAUCUGUUGUCAUCGACUUCGGUGGUUCGAAUCCACCAUCCUCCACCA
rnacentral:tRNA from 1 species